rnacentral:pre_miRNA from 10 species
UGGGUGGAACUCAGAGUCUAGGGUUGAUUGUCCAAACGCAAUUCUUGUAUCUCUGAAACCAGGAGUUGUGCAUGGACAUCUAACACUCGGCUGCUGCUAAACAGAUCCAGAUGAGUCA